UCUCAUUCACUUACCCCUCAUGGACAUAACUCACCACCACUACCAAAAAAGGAUAGUGACUCAUCCAACAAUAAUAAUCAUAAACCUCUUUUUAUAGGAAUUGGUGUUGCUGUUGGAUUAUUUUUACUUCUUAUGCUAGUUUUCCUCAUAUCUUUGUGUAAAAAGAAAAGAAGAAGAAGAAGACCACAUGAUCAAAUGGGC
rnacentral:lncRNA from 1 species